GACGAACGCUGACGGUGUGCUUUAGACAUGCAAGUCGAACGCGAAAGCCCUUCGGGGUUAGUAGAGUGGCGAACGGGUGAGUAACACGUGGGCAAUCUGCCCCUCGCAGGGGGACAACCGGAGGAAACUCCGGCUAAUACCCCGUACGCUUGCCGGACCGCAUGGUCCGGCAAGGAAAGGGUAGCUUCGGCCAUCCGGCGAGGGAUGAGGCCCCGCGGUGCAUUAGCUAGUUGGUGAGGUAACGCUCACCAAGGCAACGAUGCAUAGCUGGUCUGAGAGGAUGAUCAGCCACACUGGGACUGAGACACGGCCCAGACUCCUACGGGAGC
rnacentral:rRNA from 1 species